GAUGAACGCUGGCGGCGUGCCUAAUACAUGCAAGUCGAGCGAACAGACAAGGAGCUUGCUCCUUUGACGUUAGCGGCGGACGGGUGAGUAACACGUGGGUAACCUACCUAUAAGACUGGGAUAACUUCGGGAAACCGGAGCUAAUACCGGAUAAUAUUUCGAACCGCAUGGUUCGAUAGUGAAAGAUGGUUUUGCUAUCACUUAUAGAUGGACCCGCGCCGUAUUAGUUAGUUGGUAAGGUAACGGCUUACCAAGGCGACGAUACGUAGCCGACCUGAGAGGGUGAUCGGCCACACUGGAACUGAGACACGGUCCAGACUCCUACGGGAGGCAGCAGUAGGGAAUCUUCCGCAAUGGGCGAAAGCCUGACGGAGCAACGCCGCGUGAGUGAUGAAGGUCUUCGGAUCGUAAAACUCUGUUACUAGGGAAGAACAUACGUGUAAGUAACUAUGCACGUCUUGACGGUACCUAAUCAGAAAGCCACGGCUAACUACGUGCCAGCAGCCGCGGUAAUACGUAGGUGGCAAGCGUUAUCCGGAAUUAUUGGGCGUAAAGCGCGCGUAGGCGGUUUUUUAAGUCUGAUGUGAAAGCCCACGGCUCAACCGUGGAGGGUCAUUGGAAACUGGAAAACUUGAGUGCAGAAGAGGAAAGUGGAAUUCCAUGUGUAGCGGUGAAAUGCGCAGAGAUAUGGAGGAACACCAGUGGCGAAGGCGACUUUCUGGUCUGUAACUGACGCUGAUGUGCGAAAGCGUGGGGAUCAAACAGGAUUAGAUACCCUGGUAGUCCACGCCGUAAACGAUGAGUGCUAAGUGUUAGGGGGUUUCCGCCCCUUAGUGCUGCAGCUAACGCAUUAAGCACUCCGCCUGGGGAGUACGACCGCAAGGUUGAAACUCAAAGGAAUUGACGGGGACCCGCACAAGCGGUGGAGCAUGUGGUUUAAUUCGAAGCAACGCGAAGAACCUUACCAAAUCUUGACAUCCCUUGACAACUCUAGAGAUAGAGCCUUCCCCUUCGGGGGACAAAGUGACAGGUGGUGCAUGGUUGUCGUCAGCUCGUGUCGUGAGAUGUUGGGUUAAGUCCCGCAACGAGCGCAACCCUUAAGCUUAGUUGCCAUCAUUAAGUUGGGCACUCUAAGUUGACUGCCGGUGACAAACCGGAGGAAGGUGGGGAUGACGUCAAAUCAUCAUGCCCCUUAUGAUUUGGGCUACACACGUGCUACAAUGGACAAUACAAAGGGCAGCGAAACCGCGAGGUCAAGCAAAUCCCAUAAAGUUGUUCUCAGUUCGGAUUGUAGUCUGCAACUCGACUACAUGAAGCUGGAAUCGCUAGUAAUCGUAGAUCAGCAUGCUACGGUGAAUACGUUCCCGGGUCU
rnacentral:rRNA from 1 species